rnacentral:rRNA from 1 species
AUUGAACGCUGGCGGUAGGCGUUAACACAUGCAAGUACGUGCGAGAAGUAUACUUCGGAGUAUGAGGUAGAGCGGCGGGCGGGUGAGUAACGCGUAGGAAUCUACCUAGUAGUGGGGAUAGCCAAGGGAAACUUUGGGUAAUACCGCAUACGAUCUAAGGAUGAAAGGGGGCCUCUCUUUGAAGCUCUCGCUAUUAGAUGAGCCUGCGUAAGAUUAGCUUGUUGGUGGGGUAAUGGCCCACCAAGGCGACGAUCUUUAGCUGGUCUGAGAGGAUGAUCAGCCACACUGGGACUGAGACACGGCCCAGACUCCUACGGGAGGCAGCAGUGGGGAAUAUUGCGCAAUGGGCGAAAGCCUGACGCAGCCAUACCGCGUGUACGAUGAAGGCCCUAGGGUUGUAAAGCACUUUCGGUGGGGAGGAUAAGUUAUCGGCUAAUACCGGUAAUGCAGACGUUACCCACAGAAGAAGCACCGGCAAACUCCGUG